CACGUAGGGGGCGAGCGUUGUCCGGAUUUAUUGGGCGUAAAGAGCUCGUAGGCGGUUUCGUAAGUCGGAUGUGAAAACUCCAGGCUCAACUUGGAGACGCCAUUCGAUACUGCGAUGACUUGAGUCCGGUAGGGGAGUGUGGAAUUCCUGGUGUAGCGGUGAAAUGCGCAGAUAUCAGGAGGAACACCGGCGGCGAAGGCGGGACUCUGGGCCGGUACUGACGCUGAGGAGCGAAAGCGUGGGUAGCAAACAGG
rnacentral:rRNA from 1 species